ensembl:lncRNA novel transcript
CAUUUUCUUAAUUUUGUAUAUUCAUUUUCAAUACAAUACUUAAAAGUAUUUUUGUGUAUUAUAAAUUAUUUCAUUUAUAUUACAAAUAAAAAUCUGUCUUUUGCAUUGGUAAUUAUCAUUCAAAAGAUUUUUUAAUUGUUUUCAUUUCUUUAGUUUCUCUUUAAUUGAUAUUUCCCUUUAUUAAACUUUAAAAGUGGAGACAAUGUAUAAUGUACUAUGUAGAUAUAUUAUUGUGAGUCAUUAUUCAUUAAAAUACAAAGAUGGUAAGAUAUUUUUUUCUCCAAGGAUGAAGAUAAAGGAAAGAAUAACUAUAAUAUAAGUUCCCUUUAGGGGAGAACUUGAAGAGGUACAAAAUGGUAAGAAAGUAUAGGAGAGAGAGAAAACUCAAAUAAGAGUCAUUUGAAAAGCUCUGUUGAGUAGACACAUUCCAACUUCUCUGUGAUCUCUAAAGUGCAGGGUGAGGGAAUUCCCUAGUGUAACCAAUUUCAGUAGCGAGUAAAGAAGAACCUUGAGAUUGGAGUCAGCUGAGGUUCCCAAGAGGAAAAUUAGUUUACUUGAACCAUGGGGAGCUCAUUGAGAUGGUCCAAUCUGAGACAUCCUGUGUUGUAGAGAGUCAGAACCCACAGGGGUUAAGAUCGUGGUGGAGGUUUUGAGAGGAUACACACCCAGGAAUGAGGGGAUAACUCGACAUUGAGUUUCAGACUUAAGUAUCUAACUGUCAAAUUGACUCCUCUGUUGCGUAUUAAUAGGCAUCCUUGUAGGAAUGACAGCAGAAGGGCAGAAACCACCCACGUGAGGAAGCACGAUAUGUGAUGCCAUCAGUUCAUGGGAUUUGGAGUCAGCCAUACAGACCAAGAUUUGAGCUGCAAUUCUGUCACUUAACUUUGUAACCAAGAAUAAAUUGCUUAACUGCUU